AGGGCAGGCUCAGGCUUAUAGUCAGGGCUGGCUCAGGCUUAUAGUCAGGGCAGGCUCAGGCUUAUAGUCAGGGCUGGCUCAGGUUUAUGGCUAGGGCUGGUUCAGGCUUAUAGUCAGGGCUGGCUCACUGUACUCAUGCCUCCUCUUUUGUCUUUUUUUGACUGCCACCGCUUCUCUUGUGAAGAUUUUUUUAUUCAGUUGUGAUUUUGGCCAAAACAAAACAUCAAACAUUAUUUCAGUUCAAGUUGAGUGGAGGCCUAUUAUGUGACAAACAGGUUUCCUUUUCUUGUGUUUUGUCAUGAAGAUGUUGACACACAACAAAUUUCCUUUUCUACUCACACAUGAUGAACUGAUGUCCUGAAUCAGUGAGUCUUAAAAUAAUAUUCCCAAGUUAAGGCAAACUCACGUUGAGUUUCAAGUCAAGAAAGGUUUGUCCCAUAAGAAGAUUCAAAAGCUUUCAAGUGGUUGCCAUCCAUCAACGCUUCAGUCAGACACUUUUCUGUCUCAUAUUUACUUAACAUUUACACAUUCAUAAGAAAGACAACACUGUGUGUUCUUAUCUCACUUUGUGUGUCUCAUACAUGAUACGUGUGUCAGUAUGAGAGCUGUGUGUUUGCAUACGUGUGCAGCCUAUGUGUAUUUAAGUGGAAAUAUAAUGUAGUGUGUUUUAAUAUGACAAAGUUAUCAGAGUGGGUACCAACAAUCAUAGGAAUGUGUGAGUGCGUGUGUUUGUGUGUCGCUGAGUCUGUGUGUGUUAUCAGCAAAAACAGAUGUCGAUGCUAACAGACUGUGUUCAUAAGGUGGGAGUGAUGAAAAGACACCAGAGAGACGUGAAAUGUAUGAGGGACAGAUGGUAAAAACAUCAUCAUAAUGAAGUUUCGCCCUCUGGCUCGUUGGUUUUAAAUAAAUGUUCAUUUAUUACAGUGAAGACGGUUCGUAAGACAGAAGUACCAGAUCGCAGUAAGACACCAAAACAUCAUUGCGGAACAUCAAGGUGGAUCGUCACUGUGGAUCGCCCCUGUGGAACAGCAUUGUAGAUCCGCAUUGUGGAACGUCUCUGUGGAACAUCAAUAUGAAACGGAACGUCACUGCGGAAAAUCCAUUGUUAAAGACCAUUGUGGAACAUCUUUGUGGAACGUCCCUGCUCAACAUCCGUGUGGAGCAUCUCUAUGAAACCGAAC
ensembl:lncRNA